rnacentral:tRNA from 1 species
CACCGUGAAGCUAACAGGCAUUAACCUUUUAAGUUAAAGACUGAGAGUGCAAAUCUCUCCACAGUGAAA